GCGGGUAUAGUAUAAAGGCUAAUAUGCGACCCUUCCAAGGUCGAGCUGGGGGUUCGAUUCCCCCUACCCGCUCCA
rnacentral:tRNA from 3 species